rnacentral:rRNA from 1 species
UACAGAGGUCUCAAGCGUUGUUCGGAUUCAUUGGGCGUAAAGGGCGCGUAGGUGGCGAGCUAAGUCAGGUGUGAAAUUUCGGAGCUUAACUCCGAAACUGCAUUUGAUACUGGCGUGCUUGAGGACUGGAGAGGAGACUGGAAUUCAUGGUGUAGCAGUGAAAUGCGUAGAGAUCAUGAGGAAGACCAGUGGCGAAGGCGGGUCUCUGGACAGUGCCUGACACUGAGGCACGAAGGCCAGGGGAGCAAACGGG